rnacentral:lncRNA from 1 species
GACCGGAACGACACGGGAACCCGCGACCGGCACCGACAGAACCAACUCGCGGAAAUCGGGCAAGCCGGCCGCGCUGCCACACUUUCUUAAGGCGUAUUUCUAUGAAGUACCUUCUAACUAUACCCUUAGAUGAAGUCAUUUUUAUCUAAGGGCGGGUCUCUGAAGGUCUUUGAAAAGGAAAACAGGUAUAUCCAGUGUAAGUAAGUGCUUUGAGGGUUAUGAGUAGGACAAUUAUGACAACUGGGGGUUGGGGGGACGGUCCUAAAUGAAGCCUUAGGCACCUAAAGAGCUUCAGUGACCAGCAGUGAGGACUACCAGGUUCUCACCUUUAACCGCCAGGCGGAUACUGAGAGUGAGUUUAGAGAAGAUUCGACUCCUUUCCAUGUCCUUGGGGCCCUUGAUGUGCCGGACUUUAGACCACUUAUUGUGUCCCGCCGAGGCCGUCGCGCUGACAUGCAGCGUCCUGUGUGGCGCUGCACCACAGCCGGGGUUUGCAUGCUGGGAGGCGCCCCAAGGACCCACGCGGAACCCGAGGCAUCGCACACGAAAGCACGGGACAGCGGUCAUUCUCAGGCUGGCGGCAGCCCAAGACAUCAUCUGCUUCGACAAGGGGCUGCGCGGUGCAAAGAUGAGCAGCUAAAAUCAGCCCGUCUAGUCCGGCCCCGGAACAACCCGGUCUGGACGUUCAGACCGCUGCUACAGCUCUCCAGAAACUCAGAGGUUCGGCUCUUCCUGACGCUGCACUGCCUUGAGUGACCGCGAAGGAGCCGGGCGCGGGGACCCUAAAUGGUGCAGUACACUUCCUUUGCCCGGUCCGCCGCAAAAAGACGUUCCCGGAUUCUGCAAAGUUGGUUCCGCUGCCUCGCGGUACUCGUUCCAACCCCGCCCCUGCCAGGAGUGACGCAACCCUUCUUUGCUCCCGGUUGCUUGGAAACGACAGAUCACCUUCCCGGAGAGAUUCAGGUGACUGACUUUCCUUCCUAACUGAGCAAGUCCAGAAUAAGAAUUGUUUGGUUGAAAAAGAAAUAUGUAGUUCAGUCGGUUCAUUUUACAGAUAAAGAAACCGCCGCCAAGGUUGCCUGUUUAAAAAAAGGAAGCAAUAAACAAAAAAGUACUAAAUGCUGGGCGUGGCAGGCCAUGUCUGUGAUUCCAGCACUUAAGAGGCGAAGGAAACCUUAGGACUUUGUCUCAAAAAAAAAAAAAAAGCAAAAACUUUAAUUAAAACAAACAACGACAAAAAAAAAAAAAAAAAACAACCAAACAAAAUAAGCCACUACCCCACCAGCCGACGAGAAGCGAUUUGCCCAGUCAUUUAAAACUUUCUGAUUUAGAUUUCAUUUCUGUAAACAAGGAUGGCAUUGCCUGUUUUGCCAACCCAUACUGGACAAAAGAUCGGGCCAGCCUUUGAGUCAAACUGCUAUCUUCGUUUUCCAUCUGUUGUUUUAAAAUUAGUUUAAGUAUUUUUAAUAUAUGUGUAUGGUUGUUUUGACUGCAUGUAUGUCUGUGCGCUACAUGUGUGCCUGGUGUUCUCAGAUAUUUAUUUUACAGAUAAAGAAACCGCCGCCAAGGUUGACAUCAAGAUAGCCUGGAACUGAUGGUUGUGAGCUGUCACAUGGAGAAUCGAAAUUGAACCUGGGUCCUCUGGAAGGGCAACCAAUAUCCUUAACUGCUGAGCUAUUUCUCCAGCCCCUUCCACCAUCGGUUCUCUUGGCAGAGAAAACAAGAGAAAAAGGACACUAUGGAAAAAUAAAGAAAAAAUAAUG